CUGCAGCUGCGUUUAUAGCCCUCGGUUGUGAAGAGGGGGGGCACCUCCGCCCUAAUGUAGGCCUGGACGAUGAGAAAGGCAGCCUUUCUUUCACGUCUUAAGUCUGUCAUGGCUGCCUCUUUAAUACCCGUUUUCAUUUCAAUAGGCCAGCCUCCCUUUUCAGGGCAGCGAAGGUGCAAUUGCUAACACUCCUCCCUCCUAUUCCCCCCCAACGACGACCCUCUCAAUUCCUGCCAAAUAGAUAGGGAAGAAAUGGAGGUAGUGACAGAUUUUAUUUUCCUGGGCUCCAAGAUCACCGCAGAUGGGGAAAAACUGCAGUCUAGAAAUUAAAAGACGCUUGCUCCUGGGGAAGAAAGCUAUGGCAAAUCUAGAGAGCGUACUAAAAAGCAGAGACAUCACCCUGCCAACAAAAGUUGUGUAUAGUCAAGGCUAUGGUUUUCCCAGUUGCAAUGUUCGGCUGUGAAAGUUGGACCAUAAGGAAGGCUGAGAAGGCCAAAGAAUGGAGGCCUUUGAACUCUGGUGCUGGAGAAGACUUCUGUGAGUCCCUUGGACUGCAAGGAGAUCCAACCGGUCAGUCCUAGAGGAGAUCAACCCUGACUGCUCUUUAGAAGGCCAGAUCCUGAAGAUGAAACUCAAAUGCUUUGGCCACCUAAUGAGAAGGAAGGACUCCCUGGAGAAGAGCCUAAUGCUGGGAAUGAUGGAGGGCAAAAGAAGAAGGAGACGAUAGAGAACGAGGCGGCUGGAUGGAGUCACUGAAGCAAUCGGCGUGAACUUAAAUGGUCUCCAGGGGAUGGUAGAGGACAGGAAGGCCUGGAGGAAUGUUGUCCAUGAGGUCAUGAUGGACAACAACAUGACCCUGUGAGCUCUGGGGUCUGAAGCGGCUUUUUAGCCAGAAGAUGGGGAAGGGGAGCCCCACAUCUGCUGGAGGCCAGAAGUAUUUUCCUAUGCACUUGACAUGACACUCGCUGUGAGACCCACAGUCUUGGGUCUUCCCGAAUGCUGAUUUGAGAAGUAUUUUCCUUGCCUGGUGCCAAGGUUCAAGAUGCCCUUGUAGAUCUCUAUAAACAGGAGCAUUAUGACCCUGGUCACUUGCUUUGUUAGCAGUGCAAACCUCUCCCGGGGCAUGAUCGAUAUUCUGGAAGAAAUCUCACUUUCAAACAACUGGACUGCAAGCAAGUAAUACGUACAUCAUAAAGGCUGAAAAAUGAAAGCAUUUGAACUGCUUUUGAAAAUCAUCGAUUUGUUGGACUUCCUAGGGAAAGUUUUUUAGAAAGCAUCAUAACAAAUUGGACUGUGAACAUUUAAAAACAGAAGCAGAUGGAAAUAGAAGAGGACAGGUAUUGCAGCACAGGUGGUCUUAUGUCCUUCGACUGAACUACCUUUCUCAACAAAUGGAGCCAAGGAUCGUUUCUAUGUAAAGGUUUAAGUGGUGGCAGAUCUGACAGGGAUGAAGUGUCCCUCGACUGAACUUGAAGUUAACAAAAACUGCUUUGUCUUGAAGUUCUCAGUCAUGGAAAUGGUGACAAAGGAGAAGUGCAAAUUCUCUUAAUACUUUUCUCAACAAAUGGAGCCAAGGAUUGUUUCUAUUUAGGGGUUUAAGUGGCAGUGGGUCUAACACCAUGGUAGGCAGGCCUGGGCCUCCUGUGCUAUAGAUCUCCAAAGGCCUCCCCCACGCUCUGCUUAAUGACCCAGAUGUUCAUUUAACAUUGGGAAGAGCAGAGAUGGAGGGUGUUAAGUGAUGCCGUUCACCUGCUGUGGCAAGCAACCUCAGCAUGCAAGGCUCCCUUGUAUCUGGAGAACUACCUGCAUCAAUUGAGUGCUGCAGGCAGAAUCCCUGCCCUUUCCACUAAACAGCUCAAAUGCUGCAGGCAGGACAGAAGAGAGAUGGGUGAGACUUGCUUCUCUGCAACAGUUACAAAAAUCCAGGAACGCCUCCUGGUGACAACUGAGUGUUGCUUGGGACAAAGAUUCCAAACAGAUUGAAACUAGAUAGCCUCCCACCGGUCAGUGAGCUACACUGGCUCCCGGUGGUCUUCCAGGUGCGAUUUCAAGGUGUUGGUUACUAUCUUCAGAGUGCUCCAUGGCUUAGGACCUGGGUAUGUACGAGAUCGCCUUCUGCCACCGGUAGCCUCCCACCGGCCAGUGUGCUCCCGCAGAGAGGGACUCCUCAGGGUACCAUCAAACAAUGUCGACUGGCGACAUCCAGGGGGAGAGCCUUCUCUGGGGGCACUCGCCCUCUGGAAUGGAUUGCCCCCGGAGAUACGGAUGAUCCCUGAUUGCGCACCUUUCGCCGUGCCCUCAAGAUGUUAUUGUUCCAACAAGCUGGGUUGGCCUAAACAUUAAUUUUAAUGGGUUGUUUUUUGUUAUAAUGACGUUGGGGCCAAAUUAUUUAAUGUGUUCUUAAAUUGUUUUUAAAUUUUAUAUGGAUACAUGUUUUAUCUUUGGCUGUGCACCGCCCUGAGUCCUUCGGGAGAAGGGCCGUAUAAAAAUUAGAGAAAUUAAAUAAAUAAACGGGGAAUCCAACAUUGGAAAUAAA